AUACGGAGGGUGCGAGCGUUAUCCGGAUUUAUUAGGUUUAAAGGGUGUGUAGGCGGAAGCCUAAGUCAGUGGUGAAAUCUCACAGCUUAACUGUGAAACUGCCAUUGAAACUGGGUUUCUUGAGUAUAGUUGAGGUAGGCGGAAUGUGUAAUGUAGCGGUGAAAUGCAUAGAUAUUACACAGAACACCGAUUGCGAAGGCAGCUUACUAAGCUAUUACUGACGCUGAUGCACGAAAGCGUGGGUAGCGAACAGGAUUAGAAACCCCGGUAGUCC
rnacentral:rRNA from 1 species